UGGCAAAGAAGGAGAAAUUAAACAUAGUGUAAAGGAUGUCGAUUAUUUAUUGAAAUAUUGUUCACACAUUUGUUGUAUUAGUUUUAGGCAUAAAGUGUAGUCAUUUCAUAUAUCUAUAAAUUAUGUUGUACUCAACCACAAGUGUAGCUAUCAUGUGAAAUCAUGCAACAUUAUUAUUACAGGAUUGACUCUAUUUCAUUGGCUGUACCUUGUAGCCCUAGGACUUAUUCAUUCCAUAGCUGGAAGCUGGUAUCUCUCUCUCAAACGUGUCAAUUCUUUAUCUAACCUAAGUAGUUUGGAGGUAAACACAAUUACCUCUUGUUCAGCAUGUGUAAAUAGGUGGGCUAUUUUUCUGUGACACUUGCUGCAAGCGUUACAAAUGAUGUCAUUACAUAAAUAAAUGUGGUUUAAUUCUUCACUCACAAGAAAGGGGAAGGAAAAGAUUUCUUAGUGUCCCAGGCCCUGUCACUAAGACCCCUCCCAAUGUGGAGAACAGGCUUAUUUGCGAGAACACCUUCAGUCCCUCAGCUGAGGGCCAUGGCCUUCAACAUUGCAGGAAUUCCCAUGGUGGCCAGCAGACGGCGUGCGAGCACCACAAACCCUGGGGGCAGGCUCCUCUCUAUGCACGGUAAUUGCCGGCAGAGGGCGCCCCAUCGGCUUUUCUGACCCAGGGCACCUCAGAGCAGGAAGGGCUUCUGUUGCUCCCAGAGCACUCAGGGCCUCUGCCCUUGCCUGAGGACAGAGACCAGAGCUGCGUUUCCAGCUGGUUCUGCUGCCCUCUCCAGGAGAGACCUUGGGAGCCUUGCAGUAACUUGGUGUCUCCUGAGUCGCCAGAGAGAAGCUGCCUUGUUGCACUGAGUGUUGAGGAGAGGGCCCUGGGUGGCUUCCCUGGGCACUGGCCAGUCGGUCAGCAGCACAGGCCCUUGCAUUUUGUGGGCUGUUCCCGUGUUUCAUUCCUCACUUUCCCGGACAGUAUUUGAACAAGACGUAUUUUAUUAAAGGACCUGUGGAUCGAGGGGUCUCACGACAUCACAUCAUGGAUGCCGUGGAUGGUUUGCUCCAGAUUCAGGCUGGUUUCCAGGGAGAAAUCCUGACAGAAAUUCAGAAGACCGGGAGCUGCAUUCAGUUAGGAUGUGAAGACAUGAAAUAUUCGUCUCAGGACCGUCUAGAAGAAUGAGCUGGGACCCACUUUCCGAGUCCUGCUGGAACCAAAGACCGAGAUAUUGCCCAGGUGUCUGAAUGCCUGCACUGGGGUACCUCCUCUUCUGAUGGACUGGAUUCCCCUGCCAGCUGAUUCUUCUUUGCCGCCAGUUCACACUGUGUCAUUUUCAGCUUCCUAAGAUGGGAAAGACAUAUACACAGUCCAGGAGCCAAGGUCCACAAAUUCUGCCUUUUUACCUCCCAGCACUCUUGAAGGCCUAGAUACAAAUACCUUUCCCCCACCUCUCCCAUAAAUGCACAGACUGACAACACAGUCAGAGAAAUGAACUGAACACCCCAUUUAAGUUAAAGAAAAUUCAACCUCUGUCUGCUGCCAUGUCUCUGCUGUCAGACCUGUUUCCUCUCCUUCAUCAUAAAGUCAUCAAAUAACAUUGCACUUUGUGCCUUCCCAGAGCUGAACUUUGGUUUGAGAUGGUGAAGGCUCAUUUCAGUUCAGUGUCAAAAACCUUGUCUGACCACCCAUACCCAUUAGGAUGAACCAAGGGAUCAUCACUAGUCUCACACCUCCUUGGGGAGCCCUGAUUCUCAGUCCAGAAGUUAUACCCUGACACAGACAAUCACGCUGAAAGACGACCUUCCAGGAUAUGGCUUCCCCAACAUUGCAGCUCACUCCCAGACAUUGCUAGAGUCAGGAGUACAACCCCUGCGUCCACCUUCACAUAUCCUGGUGGAGGAAAAGGCCAAUCUUAGAGCAGCAACAUCACCUGAGGUAGAACCUGAUAUGAACUGUCACACAGUCUGGGUUUAUCUCCAGGAAACAGAUUUCAGAUGGAAAACUAUCAACUUCAUGGAGCCAAUGUACUUGAAGAAGACUCAGUUCAUUGACAGUGAAGGCAGCAAAGGGAAAUGCUUAGAAAGGCUGGUUUGCUGUGUUGCCCUCAGACUAUUUUGUUCAUGGUGUUGCUUUAAAGGGUUUUAACUUGGUACUGGAUGUAUUCAAGAGUCACAUGCAAAAUUGAAAGACUCCUAGAAACGGACACAAAACCUCUAGACAGAGAAAGGCACAUGCAUUUCCUUCCGGCAUCUCAGGCAGUCCUUCAACAAAUGCUUUCUGGAGUGGCUGGAAUGUAGUGGUUCUGUUGUAAGGGAUUGAAAAUAGAAAGGUGGCCAGGGUGCUGUACAUGCUCCCCAAAAGAGCUUAGAAAUGAUAAAAACAAGAUGCCAGUGAGACAGAGCAGGCUCCACCCCAGGUGUGGGAAGGACUAACAGAAGCUGAGUCUCCAGGGAAGAGAAGGAAGUAUUUCCUUUUCAAUGUGAAUGAGGGACUCUAAAGGCCCUGAUCUCCUCCUGAGAACAAAAGGAAAUACUGUACAAAGGAGGAAACAUGUGAGCGAAUGCACCAAAUUUCUAAUGACCCCAUGAAGACACAUGUGACCAAGAUGGAGAAGAAGGAAGCCCAGGACAAAGCCAGCCUGGCAGUGGGAACCAAUCUCCCCAGGACUCAUCAAUGAACUUGGGGAUAGAAAACUGAACUGCAAAAUAGCUGAACAACUUUAUGGGCACAGACUUAGAAGGAAAUGUGUUUAGUUCAGAGGCAGCCAGCAAAGAUGAGCCCUAGUGAAGCUGCGGGCUUUGGUCAAGACUCAGAGGAGUUUCGCUUCAAAAAUCAGGGGACAGGAAAUAGCUUCCUUAGGGAUUGGCCUGCUGUGAACAAUCUCACUAGCAGAACUGAUGCAGGGAUCCAGUACUACUGGCACCCCUACCCCCUUUCCAGAAAUAAAUUUCUGUGGUUUCUGCA